CCUUGGUUAACAUAGAGAUUCUGGGAACAUCAGAAGUGGACAGUUGGGUUCCAGACUGAUCCCCUGGUCAUGAACGACUGCCAGGACCUACCAGAAGGAGCAAAGGCAAGUACAAAUUCAUAUUUACAAUGACGACCUACCCCGGCCAAACCCGGAUGACGCUGGGCCAAUUGUGCACCGCCCUAUUGGUUCUCGCAAUCACAGCCGGAUGUGAUGCAGCCUGGAUUCAAACCAGGGACUGCAGUGAUGCCUCUUGCACUGAGAUGCAGUGCCUUAGACCGCUGCACCACUUGGGAGCCCAUUACUGGUAGGCAAAUGUGAAUGUUUCUGUGUGUUUGUUUCUCUCUCUCUUUCUCUUUCUCUCUCUCUGUGUGUGUAGAGGUCUGAGGUGAUGCGAUGUGAUGACAGAGAGAGAGAGAGAGAGAGAGGGAGUGGACAGGUGAAAUGAGGCGUACUGAUCCUUGUUAUGGCUGCAAAAACACCCCACAUCACACACCAUUAGCCUUUAAAUUACUGUCAAACAGAUACGGCACAACAUGAGCUGUCAACCUGGAAAACACACAGACUGCAAUUAGUAAAUAUCAUCCUCUGCAAGAUGUCCCAAUCGUCACUGACACAAGCAAACACACAAACGGCACACCCCAAUUCAUGCACGAAUACACACACACACACACACACACACACACACACACACACACACACCACCCUCCCACAAACGCUCACACACCACCCCGACCCCCAUCCUACACACACAUCCCAACGUCCCCAGAAUAAUCAUCCAGGAUCAAUCAGAGAUGU